rnacentral:tRNA from 1 species
GCCCGGCUAGCUCAGUCGGUAGAGCAUCAGACUUUUAAUCUGAGGGUCGUGGGUUUGAGUCCCACGUUGGGCG